GAGGACUGUAGAAAUAUCACAGAAUAUCCCAGCCCAUGCUCAGGAACUAAGACACUGUCACCCGAAAAAGCAAGUGCUUGGAGCUACAAGGAGACCCCCUGCCCCCGAUGGGCAACCAGGUGCUCUGCUGGGUGGUCCUUUGUCUCCUGGGAGCAGACACCAUGGACGGUGGAAUCACUCAGAGCCCAAAAUACCUGCUCAGAGAAGAAAGACGAGAUGUGACUCUGAAAUGUGAACAGAAUUUGGAUUACGAUGCCAUGUACUGGUACCGACAAGACCCAGGACAAGGGUUGAGACUCAUCUACUACUCACGGGUUGUGAAUGAUGCUCAGAAAGAAGACAUAUCUGAAGGCUACAGUGCCUCUCGAGAGAAGAAGGCAUUCUUUCCUCUCACUGUGACAUCGACCCAAAAGAAUCAGACAGCCCUGUAUCUCUGUGCCAGUAGUAGAGACACAGUGAAGCACAGCCACCUCCUCUCUGUGCAUAAAUGUGUCCCAAGCCCUGCUUCCCUCCAGGUGGCAGGGCUUUCUGAACUCAGUACCUUGAUCUGCCAGCUUUCCUCCAUCUCAACCAGGCCUCUAAAGCAGCUGCUGCCAUCAGCACACUUUGCUGAAUGGCCCGGCACUUCAGCGACCCACUGA